CCUACGGGAGGCAGCAGUGAGGAAUAUUGGACAAUGGGCGCAAGCCUGAUCCAGCCAUGCCGCGUGCAGGAAGACGCAUCUAUGGUGUGUAAACUGCUUUUGUACAGGAAGAAACACUCCCUCGUGAGGGAGCUUGACGGUACUGUAAGAAUAAGGAUCGGCUAACUCCGUGCCAGCAGCCGCGGUAAUACGGAGGAUCCAAGCGUUAUCCGGAAUCAUUGGGUUUAAAGGGUCCGUAGGCGGUUUAAUAAGUCAGUGGUGAAAUCUGGUCGCUCAACGAUCAAACGGCCAUUGAUACUGUUAGACUUGAAUUACUAGGAAGUAACUAGAAUAUGUAGUGUAGCGGUGAAAUGCUUAGAUAUUACAUGGAAUACCAAUUGCGAAGGCAGGUUACUACUAGUGGAUUGACGCUGAUGGACGAAAGCGUGGGGAGCGAACAGGAUUAGAUACCCUGGUAGUCCACGCCGUAAACGAUGGAUACUAGCUGUUGGGCGCAAGUUCAGUGGCUAAGCGAAAGUGAUAAGUAUCCCACCUGGGGAGUACGUUCGCAAGAAUGAAACUUAAAGGAAUUGAGGCUGAGAGAGCGAGGACGACGACGAGGGAGGAGG
rnacentral:rRNA from 1 species